rnacentral:rRNA from 1 species
AUGAACGCUGGCGGCGUGCCUAAUACAUGCAAGUCGAGCGAACAGAUGAGGAGCUUGCUCCUCUGACGUUAGCGGCGGACGGGUGAGUAACACGUGGAUAACCUACCUAUAAGACUGGGAUAACUUCGGGAAACCGGAGCUAAUACCGGAUAAUAUAUUGAACCGCAUGGUUCAAUAGUGAAAGACGGUUUUGCUGUCACUUAUAGAUGGAUCCGCGCCGCAUUAGCUAGUUGGUAAGGUAACGGCUUACCAAGGCAACGAUGCGUAGCCGACCUGAGAGGGUGAUCGGCCACACUAGAACUGAGACACGGUCCAGACUCCUACGGGAGGCAGCAGUAGGGAAUCUUCCGCAAUGGGCGAAAGCCUGACGGAGCAACGCCGCGUGAGUGAUGAAGGUCUUCGGAUCGUAAAACUCUGUUAUUAGGGAAGAACAAAUGUGUAAGUAACUAUGCACGUCUUGACGGUACCUAAUCAGAAAGCCACGGCUAACUACGUG